rnacentral:rRNA from 1 species
AUUGAACGCUGGCGGCGUGCCUAACACAUGCAAGUCGAGCGGUAACAGGUGUAGCAAUACAUGCUGACGAGCGGCGAACGGGUGAGUAACUGCUUUGGAAUCUUCCCAGUAGUGGGGAAUAACCAGUCGAAAGAUUGGCUAAUACCGCAUACGUCUGUAAAGGGAAAGCGGGGGACUCGCCUCUUCUUCGGAAGAGAGGCCUCGCGCUAUUGGAUGAGCCAAAGCGGAUUAGCUAGUGGUGGGGUAAUGGCCUACCAAGGCGACAAUCCGUAGCUGGUCUGAGAGGACGACCAGCCACACCGGAACUGAGACACGGUCCGACU